rnacentral:rRNA from 1 species
GACGAACGCUGGCGGCGUGCUUAACACAUGCAAGUCGAACGGAAAGGCCCUGCUUGCAGGGUGCUCGAGUGGCGAACGGGUGAGUAACACGUGGGUGAUCUGCCCCUUACUUUGGGAUAAGCCUGGGAAACUGGGUCUAAUACUGGAUAGGACCAUGCUGUAGGUGGUGUGGUGGAAAGAUUAGUUUCGGUAAGGGAUGAGCUCGCGGCGUAUCAGCUUGUUGGUGGGGUAAUGGCCUACCAAGGCGUCGACGGGUAGCCGGCCUGAGAGGGUGGACGGCCACGUUGGGACUGAGAUACGGCCCAGACUCCUACGGGAGGCAGCAGUGGGGAAUAUUGCACAAUGGGCGCAAGCCUGAUGCAGCGACGCCGCGUGGGGGAUGACGGCCUUCGGGUUGUAAACUCCUUUCAGCCAUGACGAAGCCCUUGUGGUGACGGUAGUGGUAGAAGAAGCACCGGCUAACUACGUG